AGAGUUUGAUCAUGGCUCAGAAUCAACGCUGGCGGCGUGCCUAACACAUGCAAGUCGCACGAGAAAGGGGCUUCGGCCCUGAGUAAAGUGGCGCACGGGUGAGUAACACGUGAAUCAUCUACCUCUGAGUGGGGAAUAACUGAGAGAAAUCUUAGCUAAUACCGCAUAACACUUACGAGUCAAAGCAGCAAUGCGCUUGGAGAGGAGUUCGCGGCCGAUUAGUUAGUUGGCGGGGUAAUGGCCCACCAAGACGAUGAUCGGUAUCCGGCCUGAGAGGGCGCACGGACACACUGGAACUGAAACACGGUCCAGACUCCUACGGGAGGCAGCAGUGGGGAAUUUUGCGCAAUGGGGGAAACCCUGACGCAGCAACGCCGCGUGGAGGAUGAAGUAUCUUGGUACGUAAACUCCUUUCGAUGGGGAAGAUAAUGACGGUACCCAUAGAAGAAGCCCCGGCUAACUUCGUGCCAGCAGCCGCGGUAAUACGAGGGGGGCAAGCGUUGUUCGGAAUUAUUGGGCGUAAAGGGUGCGUAGGCGGUUUGAUAAGUCUGAUGUGAAAUCUCUGGGCUCAACCCAGAGUCUGCAUUAGAAACUGUCGGGCUUGAGUAUGGGAGAGGUGAGUGGAAUUUCCGGUGUAGCGGUGAAAUGCGUAGAUAUCGGAAGGAACACCUGUGGCGAAAGCGGCUCACUGGACCAUAACUGACGCUGAGGCACGAAAGCUAGGGGAGCAAACAGGAUUAGAUACCCUAGUAGUCC
rnacentral:rRNA from 1 species